CGGUAAUCCUGGAGUGGGGGAGUAGCCCGGCGAAAGCCGGAUUAAUACCGCAUACGAUCCCUGGAUGAAAAUCUGGGGAUGAAAGUGGGGGACCGCAAGGCCUCACGCUCAAGGAGCGGCCGAUGUCCGAUUAGCUAGUUGGUGAGGUAAAGGCUCACCAAGGCGACGAUCGGUAGCUGGUCUGAGAGGAUGAUCAGCCACACUGGGACUGAGACACGGCCCAG
rnacentral:rRNA from 1 species